rnacentral:rRNA from 1 species
UACGGAGGAUGCGAGCGUUAUCCGGAUUUAUUGGGUUUAAAGGGUGCGCAGGCGGCGUGUCAAGCAAGCGGUAAAAUAGCGGGGCUCAACCCCGUCGAGCCGUUUGAACGUGGCGCGCUUAAGUUCAGGCGAGGUAGGCGGAAUCGUGGUGUAGCGGUUGAAAUGCAUAGAUAUCACGAAGAACUCCGAUUGCGAAGGCAGCUUACCAGUCUGCGACUGACGCUCAGGCACGAAAGUGUGGGUAUC